rnacentral:rRNA from 1 species
UGGGGAAUAUUGGACAAUGGGCGAAAGCCUGAUCCAGCCAUGCCGCGUGUGUGAAGAAGGCCUUUUGGUUGUAAAGCACUUUAAGCGAGGAGGAGGCUACUUGGAUUAAUACUCUAGGAUAGUGGACGUUACUCGCAGAAUAAGCACCGGCUAACUCUGUGCCAGCAGCCGCGGUAAUACAGAGGGUGCGAGCGUUAAUCGGAUUUACUGGGCGUAAAGCGUGCGUAGGCGGCUUCUUAAGUCGGAUGUGAAAUCCCUGAGCUUAACUUAGGAAUUGCAUUCGAUACUGGGAAGCUAGAGUAUGGGGGAGGAUGGUAGAAUUCCAGGUGUAGCGGUGAAAUGCGUAGAGAUCUGGAGGAAUACCGAUGGCGAAGGCAGCCAUCUGGCCUAAUACUGACGCUGAGGUACGAAAGCAUGGGGAGCAAACAGG